GCCCCACAUCAAGGGUUGAAGAAUCAUUACUACUUCAACAAGCUAGAAUCUGUAUAGCUAGUUACGUAACAGCGCCAUCUAGCGGCAGUAGAAAUCCACUGCAACCUAUGUUUCUUACAUUUGUAUAAAUAAAGUUCUUAAUUAUGCAACUACAGUGCAUUGUGGGUGGCUAGUGCAUUCUGGGAAGGAGAAGGGAGCCACCAUACUGUUUACAGCACAUUUGCAUAGCUCUCCUAGCAUUCCUGCUUCUUAAAUCUCCACUACCCCACAGCCAGCAUAUCUGGUAAGAAUUAUACAAGUCUCAGGAUAGUCUGUUCUUUAGUGAUGUUUUUAUAGUUCUAAUCUGCACUUAGUAGUUGUUACUCUAGUAGAUAGCCAGUCAUGCGGCCUUAUAGGUUGUCAGCCAUCUUCAACAUGUGCUUGUGCUAUGUAAUAUGUUCAGACAUGCUGAUUUAGAAUGAAUGCUGCUGUAUAUGUUAUUCAUAUGUUUUUGCUAUAUACUUAUACAAACCAUUUGUAUCUUUAUAGUUUUACCACAUGAACAUACAUCGGCACACCUACGUCGAUGCUCCUGUUUACUAAUUGCAACUGACCACUUACAGUCAAACAACCUGUUAUCAAUAAACAAGUUAGAUUACAAGACAGUCUGCUUAUUUGGAAGACAGGGAUGGUUAAGCUGAAUGUUGGAUUGCACACUGUGAGAACGUGUAUGAAGGCAGAACAGUAAAACAGAUGCUGGUCAGCAACGAUAGUGGAUGUGACCAAACGGAGCUGCCAUCACACACGCGGUUCUGCGUAUACGAUUGCAGCAUCUACCACACGGUCAGUGAUAAGAAGUGAGAGUGCAGCUCCACACGAUCCAGACCACGCCGAAGCCCGGUCCUAUAUAGAUCGAGUCCACAAAGAGACAUUAAGCGGCCGGCAGAACAGGCACAAUGUCUGUUAGCCGAGCAUCAUCAUACAAAACCAGAUCACGAGCAAGCUGCUCUAGCAAAUCCUCCAUAAAAGAAAUGGCUGCUCUCGCACGUGCAGAAGCUGAAGCUGCAAAAGUAAAGUCUUCCUUCGCUGCACAAGAGAUGCAACUAAAGAAAGAGAGGGCAUCAUUAGAAAAGGAACAAGUAGAUCUGCAAGCGUCGCUAGAAAGACUAGCCGCAGAGAAGGAAGCGGCAGCCGCAAUAGCCAAAGCAGAAUACCUGGAAGCCCUGGAGUUUUCCGGAUCUGAGAAACACAGCCGAGUACUUGGGCCAGACCUAGACGAACAAGAACCAGCCCAGCGUGUCUCAGAAUACGUCCACCAACACCCCAAGACAGAGGGCAACUAUGAGCCAGGACAUCAGCCAGCUUAUAAAGAGUGCCAAAGAUCUUACCUUGAACCACAGUACCUUAGGCAGGACGAUAUGCGACCAAACGAUGCUGACAACUACCGCCCUAUGGAGCAGAGACUACAACCUUUGCCCAAAAUUAAAGGGACACCUUUUGCAUCAGAACGGCAUUAUACUGACUGCUCUAAGCCAGAAGCUCUUAAAAGGCAUGGUAAUACACCACACGUGCAGCAUAACAGCACACCGGAUUGUACUAAUGCUAACUGGGCCAUCAUGGACUUUGCUAAGUUCUUUGCUAAACGGGAGCUGGUUACCAAGGGACUUGCAAAGUUCACCGAUCAGGCCGAGAACUACAGGUCAUGGCGAGCCUCCUUCCAAAACGCCAUAAGAGACUUAGACCUUUCCCAUCAGGAAGAGUUAGACCUCCUGGUAAAGUGGCUUGGAAGCGAGUCCGUUGAACACGCCAAAAGAAUCAGAGACAUUAACAUAAACUAUCCUGACAGAGGCCUAAAGAUGGUGUGGGAAAGACUUGAUGAGUGUUACGGGUCCAUAGAAGCCAUUGAAAAUGCUUUGUUCAAAAGGAUUGAUAACUUUCCCAGAAUAGUGGGUAGGGGUUACCAGAAGCUCAGAGAGCUCAGUGACUUGUUAAGAGAGGUACAGGUUGCUCAAGAAGAAGGAGAUCUACCAGGGCUAGCUUUCCUAGACACUGCCAGAGGGGUCAAUCCUAUUGUUCAAAAACUCCCUUAUAACCUACAAGAGAAGUGGGUCACACAUGGUUCUACUUAUAAACGGGUUCAUAAUGUACCAUUUCCCCCCUUCAAGGUGUUUGUAAACUUUGUCAGUGAACAGGCAAGAAUCAGAAAUGAUCCCAGUUUUGAUCUCACAAUGUCAUGCCCCACUACCCCUGAUGUCAGACCUCAUAAAACACCAGUGGCAGUCCAUAAAACUAACAUUGCCUCCACAGGUUCUCCAUACAAGCCGUCUAAGUCUUCUCAAGAAGGGAACGGACACAGAGAUCUUAACAAAGAAUGCCCCCUGCACAAGAAACCACAUUCUUUACUAAAAUGCAGAGCCUUCAGAGAAAAGACUUUAGAAGACCGCAAACAGUUCCUCAAAGACAACAACAUCUGCUUCAGGUGCUGCACUACAACAUCGCACUUUGCCAGGAACUGUGAGGUCAGUGUGUCAUGCUCAGAAUGUGGUAGUACAGAACACAAUAUGGCUUUACACCCUGGGCCACCCUCUCAGGCAGUACACCAAACAGAGGAUCAUGAAAAGAAGCAGAUAGACACUGACAAAACCAACACAGUAGUCACUUCUCAGUGUACCGAGAUCUGUAAAGGAGUGGUAGGAGGAAAGUCCUGCUCGAAAAUCUGCCUUGUCAGAGUUUACCCGGCCAGUCACAGAGAUAAGGCGAUCAAGGCAUACGCAAUCUUAGACGAUCAAAGCAACCGGUCUUUAGCAAAAUCCACCUUUUUUGACACCUUCAACAUCACAGGACCCGGUUCUCCCUACUCCUUAAGGACAUGUGCAGGUACAGUGGAGACGGCGGGGAGGAAGGCAACGGGAUACAAGGUAGAGUCCAUAGAUGGGCAGACCUGCUUGUCACUGCCAACCAUACUGGAGUGCAACCAAAUUCCUGACAACCGUUCUGAGAUACCUACACCAGAAGUAGCAGCAUACCACCCCCACCUGAAGCGUAUAGCUCACCAGAUACCAGAACUGGAUCCAGAAGCACCAAUAGCCUUACUCCUAGGAAGAGACAUACUACGUGUUCACAAGGCUAGAGGACAGAUUAACGGUUCCCAAAACGCUCCAUACGCCCAGAGACUUGACCUAGGGUGGGUCAUCGUAGGAGACGUCUGUCUAGGAGGAGCACACAAGCCGAUCUCUGUCAACAGCAUGCUCACCAACACACUUGAAACUAGACGUCCUUCCUUAUUCCAACCAUGUCAGAACAGUUUCCUGAUAAAAGAAAUGCCACAUAGAGAUCCUGUCCCUUGUCCCUUCAUGGAUCCGUCCAGCGAAGACCACGCCUGCGAUGGUGAACGAGAUCACUUAGGGUGUACAGUUUUCCAUAGGUCAAGAGAAGACAACAAGGUCGCAAUGUCCAUAGAAGACAGACUGUUCUUGGAGAUCAUGGAUCAAGGAAUGACAAAGGACAAUUCAAAAAGCUGGGUCGCGCCUUUACCAUUUAGACCCCAGAGACAACGCUUACCUGACAACAAAGAACUUGUCUAUAACAGAUUUAUCUCCCUCAAGCACAAACUUCAGAAGACACCAGAGAUGAAAGAACAUUUCUUUACCUUCAUGGAAAGAAUAUUCCAGAACAACCACGCAGAAAUGGCACCCGCGCUCCGAGACUCAGAGGAGCGUUGGUACUUACCCACAUUCGGCGUAUAUCAUCCUAAAAAGCCAGGCCAGAUACGAGUAGUGUUCGACUCAAGUGCCAGGUGCAAAGGCUUAUCACUAAACGAUGUCUUACUGUCUGGUCCAGACCUCAACAACCGACUUCUAGAGGUACUUCUGCGUUUCCGUAAAGAUUCCAUAGCAUUCAUGGCCGACAUACAACAGAUGUUCCACUGCUUCCUUGUCAAGGAGGAACACAGAAAUUACUUGAGGUUCUUCUGGUACCGCAACAAUGACCCUAACGAAGACAUCGUAGAGUACCGAAUGAGGGUGCACAUCUUCGGAAACAGCCCUUCACCUGCAGUCGCUAUCUAUGGUCUCAGACUUUCAGCUCAAGAGGGUGAAGCGAAGUAUGGGUCAGAUGCCAGAUCCUUUGUAGAGAAAGAUUUCUAUGUGGACGACUGCUUGAAAUCCACACCCACGAAUGAGUCGGCAAUCAGUCUCUUAAAAAGGACUCAAGAGAUGCUAGCUUUGUCUAAUCUGAGGUUACACAAAAUUGCCUCCAACAGCCGUGAGUUAAUGGAAGCCUUCUCAAACCAAGACCAUGCAAGCGACCUUAAGGACUUGGAUCUUGACACCGAUUCCCUUCCCAUGCAACGGAGUCUCGGUUUGCUCUGGGAUUUGAAGGCAGACACCUUUACCUUCCAGAUCAACAAAGAAGAAAAGCCCUUCACACGCAGAGGAGUUCUAUCUACAAUAAACAGCUUGUACGAUCCUCUGGGAUUUGUAACACCUGUCACCAUCCAAGGCAAAAUUAUGUUAAGAGACCUCACCACAGAGAUGUCCGAUUGGGAUGAUCCGCUUCCCACAGAGAAAAAGGACCUGUGGACAAGUUGGAAAAAGUCUCUUGAAGCUUUGACCAGCCUUCAUGUGACACGACCCUAUGCUUCCAUACCAUCUACAGAAGUCAAGAUGCAAAAGCUACAUAUCUUCUGCGAUGCUUCAAUCAAGGCAAUUGCUGCUGUAGCAUACCUGAAGACCAUUGAUGCCAAAGAACAAUGCCAUGUAGGGUUCGUCAUGAGUCGGGCCAAACUGACACCUCUCCGUGAACACACGAUACCCAGACUGGAGCUCUGCGCUGCUGUGCUUGCGGUAGAGUUGGCUGAACUUAUAACUUCAGGAAUGGGCCUAGAAAUCGAAGAAGUCGAAUUCCACACGGACAGCAAGGUAGUCCUAGGAUAUAUCUGCAACGAAAUUAGACGCUUUUAUGUCUAUGUCUCCAAUCGAGUGCUGAGGAUCAGGAGAUCCACUAGUCCUCAACAGUGGCACUAUGUGCCUACACAACAUAAUCCCGCAGACUACGCAACCAGAUCCGUCGCAGCCUGCCACCUGAAAGCCACAACAUGGUUCACAGGUCCUGCGUUCCUGUACCGUUCAACGGCUUGCAACAUCGGAUGUGACACAUUUGAAUUGAUAGACCCAGACGCAGAUGAGGAGAUCCGACCCGAAGUGUCUGUUCUUAACACAGUGACUUCUGAUCGUCAACUCGAAUCCCAUCGUUUCAGCAGGUUCUCCACCUGGAUGUCUCUGGUCCGUGCGAUAGCCAUCUUGAUUCAUAUAGCUAAGUCCUACACAUCUACAUUACCUGUGAGUCAGAAACCUUGUAAAGGUUGGCAUCACUGCAAGAACGCCAUGUUACUCACACAGAGGACCAGCACCCUGAGUGCUCCAUCUGGAGAAUUUACUGAAAAAGACCUGUAUAGACGUCAAUGGAGGCAGGUACAAAGUCUUUCUAAUGUCUUCUGGGACAAAUGGAGAAAAGAGUAUGUCUCUACCUUGCAGUCAAGAAUUAAGUGGCAAACUAACAAGCCGAACAUCAGACCUGGGGAUGUCGUGCUCAUGAAAAACCACCAAUCACAUCGGAACGAGUGGCCACUGGGCCUCAUCACCAACACGUUUCCAAGCAAGGAUGGGAAUGUACGUAAGGCCGAGGUCAAAAUCUGGAAGCUUGGCGAGUGCAAACUAUUCCUCAGACCAACAGCCACUCGUGUUGUUGUUUUCACCUGAGAAGACAAGUAGUGACGUCCGUUGACGCCAGACGGGGAGUGUUCUGCCCCACAUCAAGGGUUGAAGAAUCAUUACUACUUCAACAAGCUAGAAUCUGUAUAGCUAGUUACGUAACAGCGCCAUCUAGCGGCAGUAGAAAUCCACUGCAACCUAUGUUUCUUACAUUUGUAUAAAUAAAGUUCUUAAUUAUGCAACUACAGUGCAUUGUGGGUGGCUAGUGCAUUCUGGGAAGGAGAAGGGAGCCACCAUACUGUUUACAGCACAUUUGCAUAGCUCUCCUAGCAUUCCUGCUUCUUAAAUCUCCACUACCCCACAGCCAGCAUAUCUGUUUUACCACAUGAACAUACAUCGGCACACCUACGUCGAUGCUCCUGUUUACUAAUUGCAACUGACCACUUACAGUCAAACAACCUGUUAUCAAUAAACAAGUUAGAUUACAA